rnacentral:tRNA from 1 species
GGGACCAUAGCUCAGUUGGGGGAGCGCCUGUCUUACAAGCAGGGGGUCCCAGGUUCAAGCCCUUUUGGUCCCACCA